rnacentral:rRNA from 1 species
AAGUAGACCGCCUGGGGAGUACGGCCGCAAGGUUAAAACUCAAAUGAAUUGACGGGGGCCCGCACAAGCGGUGGAGCAUGUGGUUUAAUUCGAUGCAACGCGAAGAACCUUACCUGGUCUUGACAUCCACAGAACUUUCCAGAGAUGGAUUGGUGCCUUCGGGAACUGUGAGACAGGUGCUGCAUGGCUGUCGUCAGCUCGUGUUGUGAAAUGUUGGGUUAAGUCCCGCAACGAGCGCAACCCUUAUCCUUUGUUGCCAGCGGUCCGGCCGGGAACUCAAAGGAGACUGCCAGUGAUAAACUGGAGGAAGGUGGGGAUGACGUCAAGUCAUCAUGGCCCUUACGACCAGGGCUACACACGUGCUACAAUGGCGCAUACAAAGAGAAGCGACCUCGCGAGAGCAAGCGGACCUCAUAAAGUGCGUCGUAGUCCGGAUUGGAGUCUGCAACUCGACUCCAUGAAGUCGGAAUCGCUAGUAAUCGUGGAUCAGAAUGCCACGGUGAAUACGUUCCCGGGCCUUGUACACACCGCCCGUCACACCAUGGGAGUGGGUUGCAAAAGAAGUAGGUAGCUUAACCUUCGGGAGGGCGCUUACCACUUUGUGAUUCAUGACUGGGGUGAAGUCGUAACAAGGUAACCGUAGGGGAACCUGC